GCUUGCUUGUUGGGGUUGUAGGACACUCUAUACGGAGUUACAAAGGACGACAUUAGACGAAUCAUCUGGAAAGAUGAAUCAAAGAAGGUAAUAAUCCUGUAGUCGAAAAUGUUGUCUCUCUUGAGUGGAUCCUGAGUACGACGGAGCACGUGAAAUUCCGUCGGAAUCUGGGAGGACCAUCUCCUAAGGCUAAAUACUCUCUAGUGACCGAUAGUGAACCAGUACCGUGAGGGAAAGGUGAAAAGCACCCCGGAAGGGGAGUGAAAUAGAACCUGAAACCGUGUGCUUACAAGUAGUCAGAGCCCGUUAAUGGGUGAUGGCGUGCCUUUUGUAGAAUGAACCGGCGAGUUACGAUUUGAUGCAAGGUUAAGCAGUAAAUGUGGAGCCGUAGCGAAAGCGAGUCUGAAUAGGGCGUUUAGUAUUUGGUCGUAGACCCGAAACCAGGUGAUCUACCCUUGGUCAGGUUGAAGUUCAGGUAACACUGAAUGGAGGACCGAACCGACUUACGUUGAAAAGUGAGCGGAUGAACUGAGGGUAGCGGAGAAAUUCCAAUCGAACCUGGAGAUAGCUGGUUCUCUCCGAAAUAGCUUUAGGGCUAGCCUCAAGUGAUGAUUAUUGGAGGUAGAGCACUGUUUGGACGAGGGGCCCCUCUCGGGUUACCGAAUUCAGACAAACUCCGAAUGCCAAUUAAUUUAACUUGGGAGUCAGAACAUGGGUGAUAAGGUCCGUGUUCGAAAGGGAAACAGCCCAGACCACCAGCUAAGGUCCCAAAAUAUAUGUUAAGUGGAAAAGGAUGUGGCGUUGCCCAGACAACUAGGAUGUUGGCUUAGAAGCAGCCAUCAUUUAAAGAGUGCGUAAUAGCUCACUAGUCGAGUGACACUGCGCCGAAAAUGUACCGGGGCUAAACAUAUUACCGAAGCUGUGGAUUGUCCUUUGGACAAUGGUAGGAGAGCGUUCUAAGGGCGUUGAAGCAUGAUCGUAAGGACAUGUGGAGCGCUUAGAAGUGAGAAUGCCGGUGUGAGUAGCGAAAGACGGGUGAGAAUCCCGUCCACCGAUUGACUAAGGUUUCCAGAGGAAGGCUCGUCCGCUCUGGGUUAGUCGGGUCCUAAGCUGAGGCCGACAGGCGUAGGCGAUGGAUAACAGGUUGAUAUUCCUGUACCACCUAUAAUCGUUUUAAUCGAUGGGGGGACGCAGUAGG
rnacentral:rRNA from 1 species